CACGAAGCUGGAAUCGCUAGUAAUCGCGAAUCAGAAUGUCGCGGUGAAUACGUUCCCGGGUCUUGUACACACCGCCCGUCACACCAUGGGAGUCGGGAAUGCCCGAAGCCGGUGACCUAACCGAAAGGAAGGAGCCGUCGAAGGCAGGUCUGAUAACUGGGGUGAAGUCGUAACAAGGUAAC
rnacentral:rRNA from 1 species